rnacentral:rRNA from 1 species
UAGGGAAUAUUAGAAAUGGACGAAAGUCUGAUCUAGCAACACCGCGUGUGCGAAGAAGUCCUUUGGGUCGUAAAGCACUUUUUGGAAGGAAUAGGAAGGAAUGUACUUCCAGAAUAAGUCUCGGCUAACUACGUGCCAGCAGCCGCGGUAACACGUAGGAGGCAAACGUUAUCCGGAUUUACUGGGCGUAAAGCGCGUGUAGGUGGUACUGUAAGUAGGGCGUGAAAGCUCCUGGCUCAACUGGGAGAGGCCGUUCUAAACUACAGAACUAGAGGAUGGUAGUGGGAGGUGGAAUUCCAGGUGUAGCGGUGGAAUGCGCAGAUAUCUGGAGGAACACCGGUGGCGAAGGCGGCCUCCUGGACCAUUCCUGACACUCAGACGCGGAAGCUAGGGUAGCAAACGG